rnacentral:rRNA from 1 species
UACAGAGGUCUCAAGCGUUGUUCGGAUUUAUUGGGCGUAAAGAGCGUGUAGGCGGCUAGAUAGGUCCGUUGUGAAAACUCGAGGCUCAACCUCGAGACGUCGAUGGAAACCAUCUGGCUAGAGUCCGGAAGAGGAGAGUGGAAUUCCUGGUGUAGCGGUGAAAUGCGCAGAUAUCAGGAAGAACACCCGUGGCGAAGGCGGCUCUCUGGUACGUGACUGACGCUGAGACGCGAAAGCGUGGGGAGCAAACAGG